CAGGCAUGGUACCACUGAGCUAAAUCCCUGACCCAGUUUUAGUAUUUUUAAGAUUUGGUAUUUUGGGGGCCAGGGCAGCACAGCACCUGCCUGGCAAGUGUGAAGCCCUGAGUUUGAUUUCCAGUACAAAAAAAAAUGGUUUGGUAUUUUUAAAAAUGAAAAUGAGGGCUGGGGAUUUAGCUCAGUGGUUCUGCCGCCUGCUUCACAAGGGCAAGGUCCCGAGUUUGAUCCCCAGUCCAAAAAAAACCCAAAAACAUAAAAAAUAAAAAUGAAAAUGAAAUGCCAGGCAUAGUGGUACACACCUGUAAUCCCAGCUACUCAGAAGGCUGAGGCAGAAGCAUUGCAAGUUUGAGCCCAGAUGGGUAACUUAUUUUAUUGAGACCCUGCCUCACAAUAAAAAAAAAAUUUUCAGUGGUAGAGUGUGCCUCGGUUCAAUCCCCAGUAUGAGAGAGAGAGGGGAGAGAGAGAGAGAAGUAAGGGAGGGAAAAAGAAAAGAAACUGGGCAUGGUGGCACAUGCCUAUAAUCCCAGCACUCUGGGAGACUGAGGCAGGAGAACUGCAAGUUCAGGCACAGCCUAGGGAACUUCGUAACUUAGCAAGGCCCUGUCUCAAAAUUUUUAAAAAAUAAUAAAAAGGGAUAGGGAUCUAGCUCAGUCCAAAGGCAACAGCUAUGGAUUCAAUCACUAGUAAAGGGGAGGAAAAAAAAGACAAAAUGCCCCAAAAUGAUCAAAGGGACUAGGGUUAAAGCCUCUUCCAGAAAAUAGCCACAGCUGAUCCCACCUUUGGACAACAGAUUUGUCACAGAAUUGCCCCAGAUGUGAUACUUGGUGGUGGGGUGGAUUUGGGCUUGUCUGAGACCCUCACCUUCCACCUCUGCUGCCCCAAAGCCUCCUGGGAGGCCAUUCAUAGCCAGGGUGACUCUGGGUCCUAAAGUAAUGUUAGUGGAAACUUAUCCCCUCUCUGCCAGAUCCCAGCUGCCCUGAUGCCUAAAGGUGGCAUAGGACAGCAUGUGACAUCUAGGCAGCCUGGGGAGGACCAGUCCCCAAUGGGCCCCCAACUUGCUACAUGCCCUUGACCAAGCUUCUACCCCUCUGUGGCCUCUGUUUUCCCAUCUGUUCAAGGAAAUUGACUUUAAUAAUCUCUUAGACUCUUUAGCUCUGCAUGGCAGAAACAAUGGCCCAAAUCUUAUUUUUUUGCACAAUAUUUUCCUUCCUAAUGAAGCCAGGCCAAGAUUAAAAUGGCCUUCCAUUCCCCAUGCAUCUCAUCGCAAGCAGCAGAGCCACAGAUCUGAAGCAGGCCAGGGAGAAGGUACUUAGGGUUUAAAUGUCAAACUUGAUCCUUCUCACUGGAAGGAAUAUGUCUCGUGGAUAAUCCAGAAAUGUGAAAUAAUCCAAAAACCGUUUCUCCCAAGCUCUGGUUGGGGAAAUGAAUGGGUAUGGGGCCUGGGUGUUUGGGCAGGUCUCAGCUCAGUGAAAUACAUAAUGGAACCACCCAGUGAGGCUGAACACAGGAGGAACUGGGAUGCCAUCCAGCCCCACAUUCUGGCCCUGCUCCCCACCCAGGGCUGGGAGUUAACAGCACUGUCCUCCAACUGAUUUGUGCAGUUAUUCCAGAGGUAUCUGUGCAGCAAUCCCAUGUGCCAGGUAUUGCAGCACCAUUUGGUCCUCAGGGGGCUUCCACUUUAGAGAGAAAGACAGUAAACAGAACAACACUGACAAUUUGAUCAUUACAACUGUGGGAAAGAUGGUGCAGAAGAAACAAAGCUAGGAAACUGUGAGAGUCUGCAAGAGGGUGACCAGACCUUGAAGCUCCUGCCCAAAGGAUGAAGGGACUAAACAGCUAGAUGGGGAAGAGUGCUCUGUGCAGAGGGAACAGCAGUGUGUACAGCCUUGAGGCAGGAAGGGGCUUGGCUCUGAGGAACUGAUGGAAAAGCAGUUAAGCUAAAUGAAGAAGCAAGGCAGGUAGGGCCAGAUCAAGCAAGGAACUGGAAGGGGUUGGACUAUUCCAAGACAGAUGAGGGGUACUGCAGAGGGGCUUCUCACCUGGAAUGCUCAGGUCACAGACAUUGAAGCAGGAAGACUGGCUCUCCUGGUCCAGACAAACAGUGGUGGUAGCUUGGGACAAGGUCUCCCUUCUUUCUCUAAAAUGGCACACAAGCUCCUCCAUGUAGAGCAACCCUCCAGUGCCAGUUAAAAUCAUGGUAGGAGUGAGAGAGUUGAGGGUAUAGGAAGGAAAGUGGCAAGAAAGGAGAAUUAAUAGAGGGAGUCACAUUGUCAACAGAAGGCUUAAACAGAGAAGACAAUGACACGCUCACUCACCAACAGGCAGUGAGCAGCUUUGAUGCUGGGAGAAGCACUGGAGAAGCAGUAAUUCAGCUCAGCCACGCAUCUUGAGCUCUUCUGUGCUCCUUCAUUGCCAAGCACUGAGGAGACAAAGCAGACAUGGCCUCUGUCCUCGAGUUCAGCAUCCACCCCAGGAAGCUAAAGCAAGUACACAAAGAACCUAAAAACACCUGGUAGGAAGUGGCAGAUGCCCAGAGGCAGGAACAGACAAAGAGAGUAUGCCAGGCAGCUGGAGUUAUGGUCAGAAAUGUUCCCUCUGCCUGCUUGGUGAGAAAAGGGACACACAUUUAUGCUGGGCCCUUUUGUGUAAUUCUGCCCCCAUGAAUCUUUUAUAGUGACCUGGGAGUGACUGUGCUUCCUGCCCCCAUCGGAGUUGAGGAAACAGGUACAGCUAGGAACCUGGCCCAGGGGACCCAUAUAUGGUAGAGCCAGAUUUGGAACAUAUUACUGCCCCUCCACAGCCUGGGGACUCUUGCCAUGCAGCUGCACUUUUCCACCCCGCACCCUGGUUCCCCAGCUGCAAAAUGAAGGGGUCAGAUUGGACAAGCUCUACAGUUCAUUUUGGAUCUGACAUUUUAAGUGGAUUUUGAGGUUCUGUGGAAGAAAUGGCACUUGAAUUUGACCUUGAAGAAUAGGCAAGACUUGAAAACAGGGAAGGGCAUUCCAGGCUGUGGGAACUGUGUACAAAGGCAGGUUACCUCUCAGAGUGAGUAGAAGAUGAAAGGUCCAAGGAGGGAGUGGGGAAUGUGGGGCACAACUGGGCUGAGAGCUGUGGCUGACAGGACAGAGAUGGGGAGGGGGGUGGGCCAUGCAGAUAGCUUUUCUGGUCCAGACAGACUGGCUCCACACUGGGACCCUGUGGGCUGAAGAUUGGCCCUAGCAGUCCUGGGGAUGAGAGUGGGAGAGUAGAAAGGGCCUCCGAGGUGUUCAGGAAUCUUGAGUCCUCCCCGCCCCCUUCGUCUUCCCCUCAGAGGGCCUGGAACUGAAGCCAAGAGAAAUGUCACAGGUCCUCCAAGGUUAUACCAGCUGGGGCCUGACUGGAGCAGGAGGCAGUUUCCAAGGCCACCAUCCAGCUGGGGUCAGCAGGCAUGUCCAGGCCUGGCUGCUCUGGGCUUUGUCUCUCUGUGUCUUGAAACCUUGAGAGGUCACUUGAUCUUGCCCCUCACUCUGAGCAAGAGGCUUCUAGUCAGGCAGGGCUCAGCCAGUCCUGCCGUGCUUAUUACGGGCUCCAGCUUUUCCUCCUUCUCUGAACCCAUCCACCCUCCGAUCCUAUCUCUUGCCACUCCUGCAGCCACAUUUCUGCUGGUCCGCCUGUGCCGAGGCUCCAGUCCCUGGAAAUGCUAUCUCUCUGUGAACACAUCCUCUCGCACUCCCUCCUCUCUCAGCUCCCCACAUCCCGGAGCAGAGCUCUGCAACUGGAGGGUGAUGGCUAGGAGCCCACCUGCGGUUUCAGAAAAGCCUCUGCGCACAGCCUGGUUCCAUCCCUUCCCAGCUAGGUGACCUGCUUUCAGAAAACCAACGCCAAGACCCCUCCUGUCCUCUGGCAGGAGCACCUGCCCCUCUGCCUCCCACACCCCCUGCAGCCCCAUCUCCCCCUUACCCCCCAUCUCCACGCAGAAGCCGAAGGUGAGCCCUUUCUGCACAAAACCAGCAAUUGUAAAUACUUUUUAAAAAUGUACAAAACUUAAAAACAAAACACAGUUUUAGAAAAAGACAAAAAAAAAAAAGAAGCGAGAGAGCGGGCGUGUGCAAGAGGUUGCGGCGGGGCCUCCAGGUGUCCAGAGUCCCUGCAAGUAUGCACUGAGAAAUUUAUCUACAGGUCGUUUGACAAAAAUGAACAAUAUCCUAUUUAUUGUAUAUACUGUUUUAUUAUAAAUCGUGGAUUGUAUAUUGCGUUCUGUAAACCUGCUGUGGUCCCGUGGUGUGCAAAUUCGCAUGGUGGGGGGGAGGGUGAAGAACCUCUUGCGGGAGCUCUCUUUUUUUUUUUUUCCUUAUUUUUCACUCUUUUGGGUUUCUCUUCUGUUGUUGUUGUUGUUUUCUGUUGGCAGGACACACCCAAAGAUCCAAGUUUGUAUUAAAAAGAAAUGAAAAAAAGCAAAAAAAAAAAAAAAAAAAAAAAUGCCAACUUUGUGUCUUGUGAAAGGGGGUGAGUGAGGGAGGGCGGAGUGGAAGAGACACAGCUGGGGUUUGUCACCAGCCACUAGAUUCCACAGAGAAGUUAAACUACCUACAAGUGUUCCCUACCUUUGACCUCUCCCUUCUGCAUGAACUCGGGGUCACCUUUGCAUUUAGGUCUUCCCAAGCCCUAGAUCUCCCUUGCCUGUCUCUGGGCCCCCUACUACACCCCAUGCCCCGGGCCUUUCCUGCCUUCACUCCCUGGCCUUUAAUCCCCAAAGUUCUACCCUAGUUUAGUGGGCACCUAUCUGAGAUACUCAUUCCUGAACCCAAGAACCCAGGGGAUAUCUGCUUGUCCCCAGGACUGGAGUAUCCCCUGCUAUGUGCCUCCCUUUGCUCCAGGUCCUGGAUCUCAUCUACCUCAGGGGCCCCCUUUUACCCCAACACACCUGUACUUACUUAUACAGAGCCCAAGGUACAAUAGGCUAGUCACCUGAUGUUUCUCCACCUUCUGCUUUCCAUCUUGAAUCCCAAAUGCUGGGUCUAUGUUUCCUUUCAGCUUUGGUAAACUGAAAAAGGAGAACUUCUAACCCAGUCCGUUUUUCUGCUGGGCCUGGAAGAGCUUAGCUGUUUCCCACUGCUUGACAUUGGGAGAUCUUGGCUGUUCUCUCCCCAAACAGUGCCCCCUGUGGCCUCCUGAUCUUUAGAAGCAGUUUUUCCCAUGACUCAUCAUUUUUGUGUUAAAGCUCCUCUGAAUGUGGCUUCUCCCUGUCUGCCCCAGUGAAGCUCAGACACACAGGGAUGGCUCCUUGCUGACCCAACCAGCAAGGCCCAGGUCUUGGAAGAGUUGGAGGAACCCUUGGUCAAGGGGGAAACACACCCUACCUCCUGGGUGCCUCUGUUUAAGUGAAGCCAGAGGACACAGACAGGUCACAGUCCUGGAAAACUGUAGCCUGUGUGCUGGGUAUAAAGGCCCAUCUACCCACCUAGCCCCUCUACACCUUCCUAAGUGUCCUACUCUUCCCAUCUGCUGCUGAGAAGGCAACAGCACACUCAAGUUGACAGUCUCCUGUGGAGAUAGAAGUGGGGGCAGAAAGCAGAAGGCCAAGAAGGGUGGCUUCCCAGAGGAAAAAGCUUUCAAAGAGCCUGGCUGAGGAUGCUAGGCAGGAAAAUGAGGGCAUUCCUGAAGAAGGAAAGAGCAUGUGCAAAGACCUAGAGGAGCUGGAUUGUGGCAGGAGUUGCAAAAGCCCAGUUAGCCAGGUGUGGUGGUACAGGCCUGUGAUCCCAGCACCCUGGAGCCUGAAGCAGGAAGAUCACUGUGAGUUCAAGGCCAGCCUGAACUACAGAGUGAGAAACUAACCAGAAACCAAUCCCUGCCCCACCCAAAAAAGAAAGCAGCAGCAGCCCAGUUAGAUCUGUCUGGAGUAAACACUACAUGUGUUCAGGAGGAUAGAGGACUUUGGCAAGAGAAUCCAGUGGGAACUACUGUGAUGGGCCAACCCAAGAGAAGGGCUUUGCAGCCCAAGAAUUACCGGGCAGGGAGGAAAUGCUUUGUUCAAUAACUGUUGAGGUUGGCCAGGUGGGGUGGGCUGGGCUAAGUGGGCCUCUGGAAAAUUUGAGGUUCAGUAAGAGGUGAAUCAUCUGAGGGCUUAAAGGAGAGGCAGUAGGGGGAUUACUCAAUGGAAGGGAUUGGGCCUAACAGCAGAUCCAACUCAGAGUUGAAGGGUAGUUAAGGGUUUUGGGCCCUUCCAGAAUUAGGGUGGGGAGAGGAGACCCAUGAAGGAAAUGAGAGUUUAGGGAGGUGAUUAUAGCACAGAAAGGGGUCAUUAACUUGAAGAAAGGGCGGGAAUUCACCUCAAAAGAUACCAAGAAAGAGAGCCAGAGAAAGAUUGGAAGGGAGGCUUGGUGAAGAGAACUAGGUGAGAGAUAAACGGAAAAGUCAAUAGGAAAAUGGGAAAUUGGAUCAAGAGGGGCCUCAGGGUGGAGUCAGCUGCAUAGUAAGGGGUGAGGAGGGCCAGUGAGGGCCAAAAUCUAUUUUGCAGACCAGCCAGGGCCAAAGGCCCAGCCUCUGAGAUGAAAGGUUAUCAGUUCCCUUAGGAGUACCUAGAAUGCCUGAGGAAAGGGCAGCAGAGACCUGCCCAGGUGGGUGGGGCAGGCAUGGAGUCACCUGUUUUAUCUGUUGUUUUUAGGGGCUAGGGCUCCUCCCCAAAGCCAGGGUGCCACACCUGAAACCAGA
rnacentral:lncRNA from 1 species